GGUCCGCCGGGCGGAUCAGCGCUGCGCGCCGGCGCCGGCCGGGGAGCCGGAUUUGGAGUACGCGGCGCCGGCUGGGCCGGAGAGGGCGGCGCGGCGGAGCCUCCAGUGGCCUCGGACGCUCCUUCUCGCCCGCGGCCGCCGCCCGCCUCCGCCUGCUCCUCCGUCCUGGCCGGGCCCGGCCGCCACUUCCGGCCGCUCACCUGGGACGCGCUCACCUGCCUCCGGGCGCCUGGGCACCAGGAUGAAGGACCGGCUGGAGCAGUUGAAGGCCAAGCAGCUGACACAGGAUGAUGAUGCCGAUGAGGUCGAGAUUGCUAUUGACAACACAGCUUUCAUGGACGAGUUCUUUUCUGAGAUCGAGGAAACUCGACUCAACAUUGACAAGAUCUCAGAGCACGUGGAGGAAGCUAAGAAGCUCUACAGUGUCAUUCUGUCUGCACCCAUUCCAGAGCCAAAAACCAAGGAUGACCUGGAGCAGCUCACGACUGAGAUCAAGAAAAGGGCCAACAAUGUCCGGAACAAACUGAAGAGCAUGGAGAGGUGUAUUGAAGAAGACGAGGUCCGGUCGUCAGCAGACCUUCGGAUUCGGAAAUCCCAGCACUCCGUCCUCUCCCGGAAGUUUGUGGAGGUGAUGACCAAAUACAACGAGGCCCAGGUGGACUUCCGUGAACGCAGCAAAGGGCGAAUCCAGCGGCAGCUCGAGAUCACCGGCAGGAAGACAACAGAUGGGGAGCUGGAGGAGAUGCUGGAGAGUGGGAACCCUGCCAUCUUCACCUCGGGGAUCAUCGACUCUCAGAUUUCCAAGCAAGCCCUCAGUGAGAUCGAGGGACGGCACAAGGACAUCGUGAGGCUGGAGAGCAGCAUCAAGGAGCUUCACGACAUGUUCGUGGACAUCGCCAUGCUGGUGGAGAACCAGGGUGAGAUGUUAGAUAACAUAGAGUUGAAUGUCAUGCACACGGUGGACCACGUGGAGAAGGCUCGGGAGGAAACAAAAAGAGCCGUGAAGUACCAGGGUCAGGCCCGGAAGAAAUUGAUAAUUAUCAUUGUGGUAGUGGUUGUGUUGCUGGGCAUUUUAGCGUUGGUUAUUGGACUUUCCGUUGGGCUGAAGUAAGGGCGGCCCGGGAGGCUGCUGCCCUGAAAUGUAAGUAAAUGGAAGGUACUCGGGGACUCUGGAUUGGCUCCCUCUUGAGAAAUGAGCCUGGGAUUUAAAAUUCUGCUUCUUCGCCCUGUGGUUGUCCUCGGACACACCGAGCGCUCUAAGACUUCAGUACCUGUGCGUUCUUUCAUCUAUGUAACUUGCUAUUCUCGGGUCCUGGCUGCAUGCAGGGGUUGGGUCUCCGUUCGUUCCUAUUCUGUGGCUCUGUCCCCGCCCUUGUCCGCCCCUCAUGUUCACUCCCUUCCCCAGAAAGCCUGCUCCUCCUCAGUUGGGUGCAGUCUAUGUCUGCGAUCUGGGGUUUGUCUUGUGAGUUAGUACUGGCUUUCAGGUAUCUUGGGCUUUGCCUUCCGUAUCCUUUUCAGUGUAAAUGAAGCUUUGAAUCGGGAUUUGGGUCUGCAGGGUUUUGUUUGUGGUUGACUGGUUGGAUCUCGAAUGAUAAGAGUAGCUACCAUUUUUGAGGGCUGGGUUGUAUCAGACAAUGUACUAAAUAAACACCUUACACAUGCAUCACCGAGUCCUCACGUCGCCCACAUGAGACAGGUGCUAUUAUCAUCCCUAUUUUACAGAUGAAGAUGCUCAGGCUUAGAGAAGUUAGGUAACAGGGGCAAGUUUGAACACACAGCUAAUAGUGGACCUAGCUUCUCUUUGUAAAACAAGGUGGCCAUUUAUCAUCAUCUGCAAAGUCUAGAAAACCUUAGAGGAUAGCAACUUUAAAAACAAAUAUUUAUUUGGCUGUGUCAGGUCUUAGUUGUGGCAUGUGGGAUCUUUGUUGUGCCAUGGGGGAACUUCCAUUGUGGCGUGUGGGCUCAGUAGUUGCGGUGCGUGGGCUCUAGAGUGUGUGGGCUUAGUUGCUCUGUGGCAUGUGGGAUCUUAGUUCCCUGACCAGGGAUUGAACCUGCAUUGGAAGGCGGAUUCUUUUUUUUUUUUUUUUUUUUUUUGCUGUACGUGGGCCUCUCACUGUUGUGGCCUCUCCCGUUGCGGAGCACAGGCUCCAGACGCGCAGGCUCAGCGGCCAUGGCCCACGGGCCCAGCCGCUCCGCGGCAUGUGGGAUCUCCCCGGACUGGGGCAUGAACCCGUGUCCCCUGCAUCGGCAGGUGGACUCUCAACCACUGCGCCACCAGGGAAGCCUGGAAGGCAAGGAUUCUUAACCACUGGAUCACCAGGGAAGUCCCAAUAGCAACUUUAAAAUUCAGGAUAUUAAUUUCUUUAAAAUCUGGUAAAAAGAAUAGAACUGACCACUGAAUCAAGGUUUCAUGUGUACAGCAGUAGCAUGACAAGAAUCAUCUAGUUAUUGGCACUGUGAAGACUUCUGUGACCUCUUAAGUAUUAUUUUUCUGAAUAUGUUUAUCCUCCCCAGUUGUGCUCUAGGAUAACAUCAUCACCCCAUCUUCAUUGGGGAAGCUUUGUGAAGCUCAGUGAAAUUAGGAACUUGUCCAAAGCCCACACAGCUUGCAAGGCAGAGCAGGUGUGACGCCUGAACUUUUCUGCAUCUUUUUUCACUGUGCCUUUCUGCCUCCUAAGGUUAGUGGGGGAUAGGGGGACUAAGGAGAAGAAGAUUCUAGUGCCAGCAAGCUUCUGAAACUUGUAUUCGAAAGGUGUUGAUGGGAGCCCCACAGACAGAACAGGUGUUCUGCACCAGCGGUGGUGCCUCUCUUCCCAUAAGUCCUUCCACAGUGACGCGACAGCCCCUAGGAAGGGCUGUAAAAGGCCCAGGGAUUUUCCUAUUUUUUUGCCUCAUGUAACAGGGCUUUUUGUUUCUUGUACGGGGGGGUAUUUAAUUCCAGGCCCUGUCGUGGGUUUGUGCUGAGUUUUCCAUUGUUCUCUCUCUGCAGCUGUUUCUGAUCUCUCCUCUCCACCUUCUAGGUGUGUGGCUUGUGGCCGAGUCUUACUGUUCUCCGCCGCCACCCUGGGCGCUGACCAGCUCCUCCUCCCCCUGCCUCUUGUAGAGCCCAUUUCACCCCAGCCUGAUGUGGCCGCCCUUGUCUUCAGAUGGGAACGGAGUGUGAAUGGCCUUCCUGAGAGAGAGUGGGACCUGUUCCCUUGUUUUCUUGUAACCACCCUUGGACCUGACCCAGCAAACAGUCUAGCCCAGGAGAAAUCUAAACUACUGAUGCAGCCCUCAGAAUCUUCUCCUGCCCCACCAACUCUGAAGCACCUUCUCCUGGACUGUAGAAACUGCCCCAGCUUCUCCUCCCCUCUGAUGUGUCAAAUUAUGCCCUGCACCUUGGAGAACCUACCUGAGACCUCCCCAAGAAGAAGAUCAUGAUCAUGAUCUGCUGUGUCAUCCUUGCGAUCAUCUUAGCUUCUACUAUUGGGGGCAUAUUUGCCUGAAAAAACACAAAACAAAACAGUCCUCACAGAUGGAUCCUCACCUGGCAUUUUCAAUUCUUCUUCCACCUCUGUGGUGCCACCGCUUCUCCGCUGCAGAUUCCUCCAAAGCUCUUCUUUCCAUUGUGAAACCUCUUAGGACACAGGACCUCAACCACCUAGCAGUUAGAAGUUACGCAAAAGGGGAUUUACAAAAAUAUGGACUUGGAUGGCAGGCAGGGGUGAAGGAACAGGGAGUACAGCACUGCGUAGCAGGUUAGGAGGAUGGUUAAAGGAGGAGACUGCAGGGUAGAGGAGAAAGCAUAGGUACCUGUUUAGGAAAUAAACUUGGAGCCAGAGCCCACGCUGACGUUAUGGCUGAAGCACACCCGCUCAUCAGGACCUGAUUUUAACUGCCGGGAGUCAGUCAGGAUCAGGGCACUUGUUACUUCUGCUCUUCUAGUUCUAGGUCUCACCUUUGACCAACGCUCUGUCUCCUUCCUUCUUCAGGGUCCAACAUUCUCCGAGGUGAUUGUCUAACGAUAGGCCCCAGGCUAUCUCCCUCGCUGCUGUGUCCCCAGUGCUUAGCGUAGUGCCUGCCGCUUACAGCUGCUCAAGAAUCUGUUGACUUUAUCUGAAAUUAAGCUCUGAUUUCUGCUAUGGCCGAGUCCUUGGACUUGCCUCUUAAACGCUUUAAGGCAUCAGUGGGAAAUGGUCUGUGUCACAGGCCGUUUAGAAAUGCCUGGGAAUGGUCGAUCCACCCACGCAGAAGCAGAGCAGGCCCCACUUUCACAACAUACACUUUAAAGUCCUUUUUUUACGGGAGGUGGUGAUAAGAGUUCUGUCAACGGCCUCUUACUUUGCAGAGAUGGCUGGCCCCAGGAUUGUGGUUCAGUAAUUACACGUGGACCCCAAAAGAAACACGUUAUGCUGUGAUUGAACACCCAACAGUCACGAAUACCAUGCUCUGUGAACCCUAACAAAGAAGAGGUGACAAAGUUAGGUCAGAAAAACGAGGCUGUCACUCACACCCCUUCUCACUGAUGCACGUUGCCGGCUGAAACUGGCUUUGUUGGCCGGCAACUUGUGUACAAGAAACUGUUCCAAACACUGUCCCCAAUUCAAGGUUCAGGGGUGUUCUAAUGCAACUUAGGGAUUAGUUAUAGUACAAGAGGUUCACUAAAAAUAUAUUUAAAAAUCACGGUAUACAAUUCUCAAGGACCACACAGCUGCUUAAAUUUGUACUUUUGAAAGUAAAUUAUUUUCUUUGCCGGAGGUCUUACUUUUUAAGAAAGUGGGAUUUAAAAAAUUGACAUCUUAGUCUGUGUGCUGUUUUCUGCCCACUUUCAAAGCAAAUGGUUUAGUAUUUUUCCUAUCAAUCUGUAUUUCCUUUGGUUUGAAUACAGGAUAGAAACCACUGCUGGCUAGCUCUGAAAAAAUAGAUGAAUUCUGUUAAAGGCAAACAGGGAGCUGGAACCAUGGGGUUUGAAUCACCCAGGGCCCUUGUUCAUUCAACAGUAAGAUGUGAGUGCUGUGUGGCACCUGCACUGUGCUAGGACCUGUAGGGACACAGAUAUAGAGCCAAAUACCCCCCAUCCCCAGAGGGUUUCAGGCCUAGGAAAGACCACACAAUUCAGGUUUUGUUUCUAUCAGUUCCUUUUGGUAAAAGGCAAGGGUAUGUCUGUUGCCGUAUUGUCCAACAUCCCCCCUUCUAAGAUUGAGAGAAGAUGGGUAGCUGGGCGUAAAUAAAUAAGUUGAAUCAAUUAACCUAUGUACUAUUGUUUUCUUUGCUUUUCCAAAAACACUAGAAGUCUGUAACUAGUAAAAUGUCAUAGAAACUAGCUCCUUAAGUGUGUACAUAUAAAAGGCAGUACAGACAUUAAGUCUGACCUGAAUCAGAGGUGGGAGAUGCAAACGUUUGCUUCAGCCUUGAAGACAUUUAUCUUAUAGCCGGGGAGAAUCAGAGCUCCUAACAGUCAGUCAGGCCUGGUUCUUAAUCAUUUAAGGGAAUUAGUGACCAGUGAGAAGUUACAUCAUCUUGAGGUGAUGCUCAAACUUUAUUUAAUAUAAAUACAGUGCACUUAAAAAAACCUGACAGAUGACGUACAGCUUUUCAGAAAGCAUCUACUCAUAUGCUGCUCCUUGGUUAUGACAUCAGAGCUACCCAAAGACUUGAAGGACUGGCUGAGGGGAAUAAACAGCCUGUGUCCGUUUCCUGCUUACAAUCCUCACUACACACGCUCAGGCAUGUAGAACUUGCCCCAGUAUCGCCCCUUAUGGGUCAGGUCGUAGGGGCUCAGCACUUUCCGUAUCCCCAGCAUGUUGGCAGUGACAAUGCGCUCAAAGGUCCAGGGGUUUUGGUUGUUCCGUUCUCGUUCUUCUCGAUCUUUCCACAUCUUCUCUAGAGUCUCACGGCUCACGGCCUUCGCGGGGAAGGGCAACUUGUGGGCAACCUGGUUGAGGAAACCCCGUACCUCUUGGAAUUCACAACGCCCGCCCAUCUCUACUAUGAGGCGGCCAGCCUUCACAGGGGUCACGUAGUGGUCGAUGGCACCUUUGCCGCCCCCCAUGCGCUGUCCCAUACUCUUGCGGGUGAUGGGCUUGAAAGGGGCUGGUACUCGCCAUAAGGCAAACAUGUUCUUGGGGUCCAUAGACCGGUUGAUUGUCAGGCGCAUCAUUUCAAAAUGCCCCCAGUGGAGGUAGCCGCCACCCAGUGCCUAAAAGUAAAUGGAAGAAUUAGAAACAUAUGGGGAUUUAGAUAUCCUUCAUGGGAUCUAUUAUGUCUCUUCUUUUAUGGUAACUGUGGCUUCAAUGAUACACAUGAAAGUAAAAAUAUAAGUUCUAGUAAGUACCAUGGAGGAAAAGCCUAGGGUACAGUAAUAAAUGGGAACAAGGGUGGACCCGCUUCAAUGGAUAGCCAGGGAAGACCUCUUUGAGGAGGUGACCUUUAUAGCUGAGGCCAGAAUGGAACGAACCAGCCAAGGGGAAACAGAUGAGUGUUCCAGGCAGAGGAAUGGCACAUGCGAAGGCUCUGGCGCAGCAGGUGGCUUGGUGAGUCUGGGCAGAAGCCAGUGUGGCCGGAGUAGAGAGAGGAAUGGGGAACAGACUGCGUUCCGAGAGGCUGGCAGGGGCUGAUCGUGCAGGCUGUGGGAAUCGGACGUCAAAACAUCACUCUGGCUGCCUGAUGGGAACUAAAUCCUUGUCCGUAGCCAUGUGUGUAGGUACUGACGUCAAGUCUUCACGGAAGCUACUUGAUGAGUAAGGAAACAUCUGUCCCAUGUACUAAAACAUGGAUAGUUUUAUUUUGACCAGAGGCUUGAGAAAAUCUCAUGGUCUAACUAUGGGGUAAGUUAGGUACCCUCUUCCUUCUGCUUUUACAUUAUUUUCACUCUACGUAAAACAAAAAACAUUUAUGACUUAAUGCUUACUGGGUCCUGCUCAUCAGUUUAAAGAGCAACUAGUGGCAGUUCUAGUAAAACCUGUGGAGGAAGAGACGAGAAUGAACUCAAGGAGUCUAUUUUAAUCCCUGGCUUCCGUCCUAUAGCCGCUUGACGCUGGACUCACCAAGAUCGCAAAAUUGCCUUCAGUGAACUCAGUGGCUUCAGUGGAAGGUCCCCUUAUGUCACUCAGGUUUUUAGGCUCUCUUCUCACUUUUGGCACAAGUGGUACCCUUUCAACAAAUCUAAGCUUGGGCUUUUCAGGAAUGGAAACAUCUAAAAGGAGCACAGACAACCAAGAGUAAGUCAAACCACACAUCUCAAAGGAUUCAUUUUCUUCCUAGAAAGAUUUAUAACAAUCAGGUCAAAGUCUUAAAGUUACCACUCAACAACAAUUCCAGAAGUGUGUGAGGCUUAUCUUGUGGAUGCUUUUCGCUGACACUAGAAUCUUCUGAUUACGACAGUGGUUGAUGCAAAUGUUUUUGAAUCUUUUAAGAGCAGAGUUUUAACCUUCAAACCAAAAUGCUUUUUUAAAAUGCCUACUCUGUACCUAACACCUGAAAAAGGGACUGUUAGAGAAGGUACAAAGAUAUAAGAGUGUCACAGAAUAACACUAGGUAACAUUUGUGUGUGUGUGUGAAUGUUUACUAAGUGCUGGAAUUGAGCUGAGUGCUUUACAUGCAUUAUCUCAUUUAAUCGUUAAAACAACUUGAUAGCCUUGGUAUCUUUUAGGGCUUCCUUUUUAAUAUUUUUAAACCUUUAAAAGUUUAACACACACGUAUCAAAGGGCCCCAUAAAAAAAUGUGAAUUACCACAAAGUGAACACACAGACACACCCACAUAACAUCCACAUCAAGAAACACAACAUUAGGCAGGUGGUAUUUUUAAUCCAUUUUAUAGAAGAGGAACUUCAGGCCUAGAGACAUUUUAUAAUUUGGUUCGGGUCAUCCAGUCAAAACAGAAAAGCUAGACACUAUGUCACUUAAGAAAAAAUACCACACUGCCUCUCUGAUAAGAGGCAGUGGAAAGGAUACUAUAUUGUACAUCAAAAUACCUAAGUUCUCCUGCUCUGCCCAUUCUUGCUGGGAAACUUACAACCUAGUACUCCUUUGAUCAGUGCUCUUUCCUUUAUAUAUACAGGGGCUUUUCAUGCUGAGGCCUGCACUACAAUGUGGUUGCUGGGUGAGGGGCCAGACAUGCUACGUCUUUAUCAUGUCUGAGGUUUUGACAAUAUGGAAAAAAAAAUUAACUUGUGAGUCAUCUAAAGUAUUUCUACAGUAAAACAAGCAUGGCUCUGUGAUGGAGUCCAAUAUAAAACAGGAGACUUUAAGGGCUACAGAAACUGCCCCCUGCCAUUUCUAUAUGUAGCUACACAGAAACUUAGUAAUGCUUUCUCUUGCCUCCACGGCCAUAUGUACUCCAGUGCAUGUAGUAGUUUCUCAAUUAUGUGUAGAAGAUAAGGCCCUCAGAGGUCAAGGCCGCUCUCAUUGUUUUUGAGAUUUCCAAUAUAUUAAAAAAAAAAAGGUAAGUUAGAUAUACCAAAUUGUGGCUUACCUUCAUUGUUUAUAUUAACAGAUUAAUGCUUUUCACAUAAUAUUGUUGCUGCCUGCACAUGUGUAACCUCAUUUGGAGAAAACAUCAAAAGUCUCAGUUGAGGCCAGUUAGGUUUAGCUGAGUGGGCAGCUGUGGGCCACGCACCAGUGGUAGGCCAUAUGGGAGAUAUCCCAUGACAGGUUGGCUCCCUAAAAGCAGGAGCCUUUUUGAGUCUCUUGUUCUUCGAUUUCUCUCUAGCGUUUAGAACACUGCCUGGCAUACAGUAUGUCUUCAAUACAUAAUUACUGAAUGGGUGAAUGGGGAUAGGGGGCACAAGAACACGCCUACUCUUUACCUAUCCUCUGCUGGGUUCCAUCACAGAAAAGGCUUACAAACAGGAAAACGGAUAAGCUCUCACCUUCAAAAGUGGGCACCGGGAGCAGCGUCUUUAGGCCAGCGCUGGCGGGCGGCGCUGCCCAAGAAUCUACAAAGACAGAUCAAGUUAAACGACGAAGGCCAGGGCUUGGUACACUCUGGGCCAAAUACGCUCCUGACAGAGGUGUCCUGUGGGUUUGGGACGUGGGUUCCACUAAAGGGGCUCACAGGCACUGCCCCCCGCCCCCAAAGACAAGCCGGGGACUCUGGGCGCCGAUCCCCAGGUUGCACGAACGCUGUUGACCCUUUUGCACGAAUCUUAUGGCGGGAGGGGCGGCAGCAAAGGGCAGCCCUUCCCCGUGCUUCCGCAACCGUGCGCAGAGUCUUGGGACCGUGCGAGAUACCCGAUGCGGGGGAGGGGUGUGGAGAGAGGCAAGGCCUGGAGGGAUCAGGGGAUUUCUGACCUAACAAACGCGCCCGCAGGACGGGCGCGCGGGCGCGAGCCAGCAGCCGCCACAUGGUCGCGCGCGUGCGGUCGCGUCGGGCUCCCCACGGCGACCGCAGCGAACACUUCGACGGGGGCACGGAACGCGGCACUCUCGAGACACGCCGAAACCGGCUCCGGCUCCCACCUGGUCGGGCCGGAAGUUGCGUUCGCGCCGGUCCCCCCUGCAGUGAGGGCGGGUAAAGCGGAAGAAACCGGAGCCUCGGAACGUGGGUUCCGGCCUGGUGUGUGCGGGUCCCGCCCCGCGUUCUUUCUGGGGUCUCUCCGGAGAUGAGGGCGGCAGGGCAGGGGGUUCUCUCCCCGCAGUACCAUGCUGAGAAAGCCUGGGUUCGUAUGGCAAGUUGGUUCCUUACAAUUCACUACGUUACGCCGCGUCUCUAGCCCCCUUCUCUCCCGCAAGACGUUAGAAAAAAGCGAAGGACUCAUCACUGUCUUAACAUUUACUGGGCUCUUGCACGGUGUCGGGCGAGGAGUUACUCUUCAAUAAAAACGGACACUCCUGAGGAGCUGAGUCAAGAUGGCACAGCGGGAAGACCCUGAGUUCACCUCCUCUCAUGGGCACACCAAAAAUGACAACUAUUUAUAGAGCAACUAUUGAUGAGAAAGACUGGAAUCUACCGGAAAAGAUCCUCUACAACUAGAAAUAUAAAGAAGGAACCACAACAAAACAGGUGUGGUUGGGGGAGGAUAUGGUAUAGUCAAGACCCACAUCCCUGAAUGGGCAACCCGCAAACAAGAGGAUAAUUUUACAAUUUCAGAGUUCUCCCCAAGGAGCAAGGGGCCUAAGCCCCACAUCAGGCUCCCCAACCUGGGGGUCCUGCACUGGGAGGACAAGCCCCCCAGAACACUUGGGUUUGAAGGCCAGUGGGGCUUGAUUUUAGGAGACCCAGAGGCUGUGGGAAACAAAGACUCCACUUUUAAAGGGCUUUCACAAGAUCUCACACCUUCUAGGACCCAGGGUAGAGCAGUAAUUUGAAAGGAGCCUGGGUCAGACUCACCUGCUGAGCUUGGAGAGGCUCCUAGAGAGGCAGGAGGCAACUGGAGCUCACCCUGGGGACAUCGGCGCUGGUGGCAGCCACUUUUUGAAGCUUGUUCUAUCACAUGGACAUGGGUGCUGGCAGGGACCAUUUUGUAAUCUUCCCUCUAGCUUAUUAGCCUCAGGACUGCCCAGCCCUGCCCACCAGCCUGUAGGCACCAAUACUGGAAUGCCUCAGGCUAAGCAACUAGCUGGGUGGGGGGGACACAGCCCCAUCCACUAGUAGGCAGGCUGCCUUAAGACCCCUGAACCCACAGCCAUCCCUGGGCAUGGCUCUGUCCACCACAGAGCCCAGGACCUGGCCCAGUACGCAGGCACUAGACUGGAUAUCCCAGGGCCCUACAGCCAGAGAGUCUGGGACACAGCUCUGCCCACCAGUAGGCAGCACCAGUCUGGGGACCUGCUGGAUCUCAGCCCUACUCACUAGUGGGCUGACACAAGCUUCAGGACACCCUCAACCCUGCAGCCAGCUGUGUCAGGAACUGGCCUCACCCACCAGGAGGCUGACACUAGAUCUGGGAAUUCUGGCCCCAUAACCACUCAACCCAGAACCUGGCUCUGCCCACCAGUGAGCCAGCACUACCCCAGAGACCCCCAGAUUUUCACAGCCAGACUUCUCAUGACCUAGCUCAGCCAACCAGCAACUGGCAGCCUCCAGGCAGGCCCUGGCAACCAAUCAGACCUGGGACCAGCCAUGCCUACAAGACCACUCAUAGCCCACCACAUCAGAAGGACCCACACAGCCUGCAUGACGGGGGUGGGGGGGAAUCCCUAGAAGAUAUAGCUCUGGUGACCAGGGGGCAGUGCACUGCUGGGACACAUAGGACAUCGCCUACAAAGGGCCACUUCUCCAAGGCUGGGAAAUGUAAUCAACCUACCAUAUACAUAAAAAUAAAAACUGCAAAUUAGGCAAAAUGAGGAGAUAGAUGAACAGGUUCCAAAUGAAGGAGCAAGAUAAAACCCCCAAAGAAGAACUAAGUGAAAUGGAGAUAGGCAAUCUAACGGAUAAAGAGUUCAAGGUAAUGACCAUAAAGAUGCUCAGGGAACUCGGGAGAAGACUGGGUGAACAGAGUGAGAAUGAGAAGUUUUUAAUGAAGAGUUAUAAAAUUUAAGAAGACACAAACAGAUGAAGAAUACAAUAACUGAAAUGAAAAAUACACUAGAAGGAAUCAACAGUAGAUUAAAUGAUACAGAGGAACAGACCAGCAAGCUGGAAGACAGUAGUGGAAAUUACUGACGCUGAACAGAAAAUAGAAUGAAAAGAAGGGAGGACAGUUUAAGAGACCUCUGGGCCAACAUCAAACAUCCUAACAUUCACAUUAUAGGGGUCCCAGAAGGAGGAGAAAGAGGAAAAGGUCUGAGAACGUAUUUGAAGACAUAAUAGCUGAAAACUUCCCUAACCUGGCAAAGCAGUCACCCAAGUCCAGAGAGCACAGAGGGUCCCAAACAGGAUUAAUCAAAAGAGGUCCACACCAAGACACAUUGUAAUUAAAUGGCAAAAAUUAAAGACAAGAGAAUAUUAAAACCAGCAAGGGAAAAACAAGUCACCUACAAGGGAACUCCCACUAGGCUGUCAGCUGAAUUUUCAGCAGAAACUCUGCCAGCCAGAAAGGAGUGGCAUGAUAUAGUUAAAGUGAUGAAAGGGAAACGCCUACAACCAAGAAUACUCUACCCAGCAAGGCUCUCAUUCAGAUUUACAGACAAGCAAAAGCUAAAAGAGUUCAGCAUCACCAAACCAGCUUUAUAAGAAAUAUUAAAAGGACUUCUCUAAGCAAAAAAGAAAAGGCCACGACUAGAAACAUGAAAAUCAUGAAAGGAAAAAGCUCAUCAGGAAAGGUACAUAUACAAUACAGGUAGUAAGUCAACCAUGUACAAAGGAAGGUUAAAAGACAAAAGUAGUAAAAUGAUGUCUGCAAUAAGCAGUUAAGGGACACACAAAACAAAAAAAUGUAAGGUAUGGUGUCAAAAACAGUCAUCAUGAGGAGAGGGUAGUAAAAAUGAAGGGUUGUUAAAAUGCAUUUAAAAUUAAGUGAUCAGCAACUUAAAAUAAUCACAUAUAUGUAUAUAGGUUGCUUUAUAUUAACCUCAUGGUACCCAGAAACCAAAAAUAUAUAAUAGAUACACAAAAAAGAGAAAGAGUUAUUAUAUAUGUUUAACUAAAAGAUUCAAACUCAUAGAAGCAGACAGUUAAAUGGUGGUUGCCAGGACUGGGGGAGGGGAAAUGAGGAGUUUUUAUUUAACAGGUACAAAGUUUCAGUUUAGGCAAGAUGAGUGAGUUCUAGGGCUCUGUUGUACAACAUUGUGCCUAUAGCUAACAAUAUUGUAUGGUACACUUUUUAAGAGGGUAGAUCUCAUGUUAAGUUUUUUUACCACAAUACAAAAUAAUCAAACAUUUCUGUUCCCAAAGUUGCCGUAAACACUGUUAAGAAAUAACAUAAUACUUUGCAAAUCCACAAGGAUUAGUAUCCAGAAUGUAUAAAGAAUGUCAUGCAAAUCAACUGAAAAACAAAUUCUGCUCAAUAUGCUAUAAUAAUGUAAAUGGGAAAAGAAUUUGAAAAAGGAUAGAUGUAUGUGUAUAUAUAACAGAAUUCCUUUGUUGUACACCUGAAACUAUCACAACAUUGUUAAUCAACCAUACUCCAAUAUAAAAUGAAAAAUAAAACAAAUUCUGAUACAAAAUGGACAAAAGCCAUCAACAGGGAGUAUACAAAAGAGGAAAUGUGAUAAAAAGCAAUCUCAUUAGUAAUCAUGACACAGUUAAUUAAAAUCCAGAAGCACCCUUUUCCCCUUCCAGACUGGCAAAUAUUGUUUCCUGAAACCAAGUGUUGGUGAGGGUGUGGAGAAACUCUAGAGGGAGGAUAAACAAGUACAAUAACUGUAUUGAGGAAUUGCUAACUAUCUAGGAAAUAGUAGAAUUGUAUACUCUGUGUGUGUGCACAUAUACACGCUCAUGCACCCUAGCAUUUCCACUCCCUUGGAACUGCACCCUAGAAGGAACACUCAUACAUACGCAGGAGGAGCUGUGUACAAGGAUGUAAAGAGCAACAUUAUGAAAACUAGCAACUGGUGGCAAGUUAAAUGUCCUUCAGCAAAGACUGGACACAUAAUUUGUGGCAUGAUCAUACAAUAAAAUAUCGAAAGCAAUAAUGAACAAAGAUGUACAAAACAAUAGUAUAUAAUAUUCAUGGCUGCAUGAUACUUACAGAUCCAGAAAUUCUAUUGUCAUACAUUUCUGGCCUAUAGAACUAGUCCACAUCUCAGAAACAAGGAGGAGCAGCCACCCUAGUAGUAGGAAGCCCUUCAUUUGGUCAAACCCUGAGCCAAAGCCCACUCAGGAAACAGGAAGUUGUGAGGGGCCGGCUGCUUCCUGAGUUAUAGCAGCCGAAGCCAUGCUCAGAGGUUGGUAGUUAACCACAUUUUGGACAGCAUUAGAGAAGGUCCUAUUAGCUCAACCUCCUACAGUUUGGUAUUUUAUGCUCAAAAUUGCAGAUUAGUGGGACACGUAAGCAAAAUGUACCAUGUGAGGGUUUCUAGAACUUUGUCAUCUUUAGGCCUGUGAAAGUACCGUUACAUUGUCAUAGAGCUGUUGAUUCAGAUUUAGGGAGUUGUGGAGGCUUGUAACGGCCCACUCUCUUGUGUAACUCCUUCUCUGUCAGUGUGGUAGAAGCUGUGAAUGUGCUGAAAUGUCAUUCCUGUAAUUAUGUUACUUUAUAGGGCGAAGGGGAUUUUUUUUUUCAGUUGACUUUGAGUUAAUCAAAAUGGAGAUGAUCUGGGUGGGACUAAUCUAAUCACACAGGCCCUUUAAAGGCAGAGAGUUUUCUCUAGCUGGUGGCAGCAGUCAUCAGAGAGAUUUGGGAACGUGAGGAGGAUCAGCCCUCUUGCUGGUCUGAAGCUGGAGGGGGCCAGGUGAGAGGACACACAGGCAGCUUUCAGGAGCUGAGAAGCACCUGGUUGAGAGCCAGCAAGGAAAAGGGACCUCAGGUCUAUAACCGCAAGGAACUGAAUUCAGUCAACAUCCUGAAUGAGGCUGGAAGCAGAUUCAAAGCCAGAUCCUGCAGAUAAAAGCUCAGCCUGGCCGCCAUGUUGAUUUUGGCCUCAUGGGAACCUAAACGGAGAACCCAGUUGAUCCUGCUUGGACUUCUCACCUAUAGAACUGUAAGGUAAUGAGUGGUAUUGCUCUGUGUUGCCAAAUUUAUGGUGAUAUGUUAUGUAGCCAUAGGAAACUAAUACAGAGGGUGUUUUGGGUGCUUGAGAAAAUGGAAAGAUCACAGUUGCUGGACCCCAGUGAGGUGGGAAAGAAUAGUAGGGAAUACCAUGCAACAGUGAAGAGGAAUACAUUUGAUUUGAUUUAAAAACAUGCAUGUAGCUCAAACAGAAAGGUAAAUGAAAAAUGCAAGAGAAAACCGUAAGGUAUAGUGCACCAAACUAUUUAGAAAUAUACAUUAAAAUAUAUUUUUCACAUUUGUACAUAUAUGUUAAAAAUUUUGGAAAGUAGUAUGGAAGGAUAUAUAGUAAAUAUUUUUAAGUGUGACCAAUAAUAGUAGGAUAUGGAAUUGGCGAGGCUGAAUUAAGGAAAAAAGUAAUAAGAGGGUCUUUACAUAGAUGAAUGAUGCUAGGUGGCCAUGCUAAAGAGUAUGGUCAACAGCGUUCUGUCUCCUGAGAUUCACAAUUACAGCACAUAGUAGAACAAAACAGUAGAUAAGAGAAAAAAACAAAAAAUCAAUUCAAUUAUAAUUAUAGCUAAUAUUAAGCAUUUACUAUGUGCCAGAUACUUUUCUAAUUAUGUAUUUGUAUUAACAUACUUAGUGCUUCCAAUAAGCCUAUGAGAGAGGUACUCUUAUAGUCCCAUUUUGCGUUCAUUUGUACACAGUUUAGGUAGCUUACAUAAUGUCACACAGAUAGUAAGAGUCCAUAGAAAUGAAAAUCUAGUAGUCUGUUUCCAGAAUCUAUUUUCUUAACCACUGUGCUAAGGUAGGUCACGGAGUCUCAUUUCCAUCAAUGGAUUUCAUCUCCAUCAGCAGUCUUCAUAUUGGAAUAUUUCUAUGCGUGAGAGUACACAAAGACUUUCCAGGGGGAGUUCAUGCAGCAAUAAUUUCAGUGCAUUUAAUUUCCAGAGUCUCAACUGCCAUUUAUACUCUUUCCAAACACUGAUCUUCCAGAGAAGAAACAUGAGUUCUCAGUGUCCUUUUAUUUUACAAAUAUAAAAUAUCACUUGGGUUGGUCUUGCCCAACCCAAGUGAUAUUCUUUGAUGGCACGGGUAAUAAAAACUGGAGUGCCAACCAAAAUAAAACAUUGAAACACUGGCUUAGUAACACUUCCUUCAUCAAGACAAGGGGUCAGCAAACUUUUUCUGGAAAGGGCCAGGUAAUAAGAAUUUUAGGCUUUGUGGUUUCUUUCACAGCAACUCAACUCUGAUGUUAUAGUGAAAAGCAGUUUAAGUAAAUGAAUGAACGUGGCUGUGUUUCAGGAAAAUUUUACUCGUGGGCUGUAGUUUGCCAACCCCGUUUCUGUCUUUCCUUAUCUUAUGCAUAUUUAUAUUAAGGGUGAAGCCUGGCAUCACGAAUGGAGAAAUUUGACCAGGAUAGAAUGCUCUGAAUUCAAACGGUCAAAAAAUUAUCGGUUUCUGAUGCUGAUUAUUUUUAUUUAAUGUUUUAAUUGAAAAUAUUAAAAAAAUUUAAGACACAUUGUAUCAAACCCAUGGAUAAAAUUGGAUGUGAUUUUUUUUUUAAUGAAGUAUAGCUGAUUUAUGUUGUGUUAGUUUCAGGUGUACAGCACAGUGAUUCAGAUAUAUAUAUAUAUAUAUGUAUAUGUGUAUCUACGUGUGUGUGUAUAUAUAUAUAUAUAUAUUCUUUUUCAGAUUCUUUUCCCUUAUAGGUUAUUACAAAAUAUUGAGUAUAGUUCCCUGUGCUAUACAGUAGGUUCCUGUUGGUUAUCUGUUUUAUAUAUAGUGGUGUAUAUAUGUUAAUCCCAAACUCCUAAUUUAUCCCUCUUCCCUCCUUUUCCUCUUUGGAAACCGUAAGUUUGUUUUCCAUGUCUAUGAGUCUAUUCUCUUUUGUAAAUAAGUUCAUGUUAUCUUUUUAAAAAAAUUCCACAUAUAAGUGAUAUCAUAUGA